rnacentral:rRNA from 1 species
GAUGAACGCUGGCGGCGUGCCUAAUACAUGCAAGUAGAACGCUGAAGCUUGGUGCUUGCACCGAGCGGAUGAGUUGCGAACGGGUGAGUAACGCGUAGGUAACCUGCCUCUUAGCGGGGGAUAACUAUUGGAAACGAUAGCUAAUACCGCAUAAAAGUCGAUAUCGCAUGAUAUUGAUUUGAAAGGUGCAAAUGCAUCACUAAGAGAUGGACCUGCGUUGUAUUAGCUAGUUGGUGAGGUAACGGCUCACCAAGGCGACGAUACAUAGCCGACCUGAGAGGGUGAUCGGCCACACUGGGACUGAGACACGGCCCAGACUCCUACGGGAGGCAGCAGUAGGGAAUCUUCGGCAAUGGGGGCAACCCUGACCGAGCAACGCCGCGUGAGUGAAGAAGGUUUUCGGAUCGUAAAGCUCUGUUGUAAGAGAAGAACGAGUGUGAGAGUGGAAAGUUCACACUGUGACGGUAACUUACCAGAAAGGGACGGCUAACUACGUGCCAGCAGCCGCGGUAAUACGUAGGUCCCGAGCGUUAUCCGGAUUUAUUGGGCGUAAAGCGAGCGCAGGCGGUUAGAUAAGUCUGAAGUUAAAGGCUGUGGCUUAACCAUAGUACGCUUUGGAAACUGUUUAACUUGAGUGCAGAAGGGGAGAGCGGAAUUCCAUGUGUAGCGGUGAAAUGCGUAGAUAUAUGGAGGAACACCGGUGGCGAAAGCGGCUCUCUGGUCUGUAACUGACGCUGAGGCUCGAAAGCGUGGGGAGCAAACAGG